GAGUCCACCCAGGCGUGCGUCAGAUCAGCCCUGUCAACAUCACGAGAAAGACAACUUGGGUACAUGACUUUUAAAAGGUGAAAAGAGGACAGGAGAUACAAAAGAGGUAAACAAGAUCAUCUGAGAAGCAGAGAAUGUCGUUUCUAUGCUCUUUUCUUCUUUUGUGGCAGUGCAGUGAUUGAGGAUUUUAAUUUCUACUCAAUUUCAAGAAAAAAAAACAGAAGUGGGACUGAAGAAGAGAGGAUUAUUGAAGAAAUAAGAAGACUCUAAACGUCUGAAGACGCUUGACAAAGGCCUGCAGGAGACCAGCCAUGGAGGAGGAUUACAAGAGACCACCACCAUCCUAUGAAGAAGUUAUAACCGAGCAGCACACGAGCAACACUAGUCAGAGCCACACUGCUGAUAACAGGCAGGGCUGCUGCUGCAGAUGUUGCAUUAGCACCAAGAACUGUCUGAUGAGUCCGGAGUGCGGUCGAGCUCUUAACAUCGCCAGCGUGAUUGCCAUGUGUGGCAUGUGUAUUCGAAUGUUUGUCUAACACAGUCUCCUGUGGACCAUUUAUUCCAGAUCUCUCAUGUGAUUCUUGGGCCUCAUUCAUGAAAAAGUAGCACAAUAAAUUCAUAAAUCGUUUGUAAAAUCAUUCCUAUAUUCAGUGUGGCAUUUAAUUAAAUCGGCAUGAGUGACCACUUAAGGUGCGGUCACAUUUAUCAUUGUUAGAUGAAAUAGACAAGUAAUUUCAAUAGGGGUCCAAGUUAUAAGGAAUUUUCUUGAGAGCAAAAGAUUUCCCCAGGCAGAUUUCAGUUAAAGUUGGUAACACAAAUUCAUCGUGUUGAAUUGACCAACAGAAAGAUAAUGAAAAUGAAUUCUGUUUGAGAUAACAACAUGCGAUGACAAUGGGCCUUUUUUUGUCUGCAAAAUUUUGCUAAUGUGACUGUACCUUUCCAGUAUGUAAUUCCAUUCUGAAAGACAGUAGUAUUAUAUAGUUGUACUAAUAUUUUCUCUCUAAUCCAAGUCCUUUGUUUAUGUAGAGCUUUAUACAAUAUACUUUGCACAAUACUAAACAGGAAAGAAACAGAAUCAGUGAUGCAAACUUAAAAAAUAAGAGGUCAUCCAAAUAGGCCCGUAACCAGAUGAGGCCACCAAUGUCCGGACCUUGGUAAAUUUUUCAUGUUCAAAAAUAAAAUUUGUUCUUUGAAUGACUAAUUUGCUGUUAAACUCCUCAUAUGAAUGCCUGCAUG
rnacentral:lncRNA from 1 species